rnacentral:rRNA from 1 species
UACAGAGGUCCCAAGCGUUGUUCGGAUUCAUUGGGCGUAAAGGGUGCGUAGGCGGCGAGGCAAGUCUGGUGUGAAAUCCCGGGGCUCAACCCCGGAACUGCACUGGAUACUGCUUUGCUAGAGUACUGGAGAGGGAACUGGAAUUUACGGUGUAGCAGUGAAAUGCGUAGAUAUCGUAAGGAAGACCAGCGGCGAAGGCGAGUUCCUGGACAGUUACUGACGGCUGAGGCACGAAGGCCAGGGGAGCAAACGGG